AGACGGAGGGGGCUAGCGUUGUUCGGAAUUACUGGGCGUAAAGCGCGCGUAGGCGGUCCGUUUAGUUAGGCGUGAAAGGCCUGGGCUCAACCCGGGAACUGCGCUUAAUACUGGUAGACUUGAGUCCGGGAGAGGGUGGCGGAAUUCCCAGUGUAGAGGUGAAAUUCGUAGAUAUUGGGAAGAACACCAGUAGCGAAGGCGGCCACCUGGCCCGGUACUGACGCUGAGGUGCGAAAGCGUGGGGAGCAAACAGGAUUAGAAACCCCAGUAGUCC
rnacentral:rRNA from 1 species